GUGUUGACGUUACCGACAGAAUAAGCACCGGCUAACUCUGUGCCAGCAGCCGCGGUAAUACAGAGGGUGCGAGCGUUAAUCGGAAUUACUGGGCGUAAAGGGUGCGUAGGCGGUCUGAUAAGUCGGAUGUGAAAUCCCUGGGCUUAACCUAGGAAUUGCAUACGAUACUGCCAGACUUGAGUACAGUAGAGGAUAGUGGAAUUCCACGUGUAGCGGUGAAAUGCGUAGAUAUGUGGAGGAACACCAGUGGCGAAGGCGGCUAUCUGGACUGAUACUGACGCUGAGGCACGAAAGCGUGGGGAGCAAACAGGAUUAGAUACCCUGGUAGUCCACGCCCUAAACGAUGGGAACUAGCUGUUGGGAGAAAUUAAUCUCUUAGUAGCGAAGCUAACGCGUUAAGUUCCCCGCCUGGGGAGUACGGUCGCAAGAUUAAAACUCAAAUGAAUUGACGGGG
rnacentral:rRNA from 1 species